AUACUGCUGAGGAGUCCCACAAUAGAACGAAACGGUCGUCUAGUGU
rnacentral:hammerhead_ribozyme from 1 species